CCUCCAGUCUAACUGGCAGAGAUUUCGUCCUCCAUCAGUCUGUGAUGUCCUAGUCUCUGUCUGCUGACACGUUCAGUUAUAAAAACGAUGUUUAUGUGGCUAUUGCUGCUCCCAGUGCAGAGAGCUGUAUGGUUUUCCAAUGGGACCACAUAGAGAUGAACUUCAGGACCUAUGAUAACAUCACAGGUCAGUCCAUUGUGGGGUGCAAGUCAGUUGUCAUCCAGAGCCAGGUGUUUGUCAUCGUGGCUCAGCUCUUUGGUGGUUCCCACAUCUACAAGUUUGAUGAGGACCAGAGCAGGUUCAGCAAGUUCCAGGACAUUGAGGUGUCCAAGAUCUC